UUGCGCCGGGUAAGUCUUGUACGACCAGCUCCCUUUGAACUCCCCCAGGGCUUGACCGCAGCAAGGGUAUUAGGUUGUAGCGGUGCGAUACAGGGUGCUUACCCACCU
rnacentral:SRP_RNA from 1 species